rnacentral:rRNA from 2 species
UUCCUCUAAAGAGCCGUUGAAGACUACGACGUUGAUAGGUUGGAUGUGGAAGUGCGGUGACGCAUGAAGCUGACCAAUACUAAUUGCUCGUGAGGCUUGACUAUACAACACCCAAACAGUUG